rnacentral:rRNA from 1 species
AAUGAACGCUGGCGGCAGGCCUAACACAUGCAAGUCGAACGGAUCCUUCGGGAUUAGUGGCGGACGGGUGAGUAACGCGUGGGAACAUACCCUUUGGUACGGAAUAGCCUCGGGAAACUGGGAGUAAUACCGUAUGUGGUCGAGAGACGAAAGAUUUAUCGCCAAAGGAUUGGCCCGCGUUGGAUUAGGUAGUUGGUGGGGUAAUGGCUUACCAAGCAGACGAUCCAUAGCUGGUUUGAGAGGAUGAUUAGCCACACUGGGGCUGAGACACGGCCCAGACUCCUACGGGAGGCAGCAGUGGGGAAUCUUAGACAAUAGGGGAAACCCUGAUCUAGCCAUGCCGCGUGAUCGAUGAAGGCCUUAGGGUUGUAAAGAUCUUUCAGGUGGGAAGAUAAUGACUGUACCACCAGAAGAAGCCCCGGCUAACUCCGUGCCAGCCGCCGCGGUAA